rnacentral:rRNA from 1 species
UACGAAGGGGGCUAGCGUUGUUCGGAAUUACUGGGCGUAAAGGGCGCGUAGGCGGUCCGCUCAGUCAGAAGUGAAAGCCCCGGGCUCAACCUGGGAAUUGCUUUUGAUACUGGUGGACUUGAGUUCCGGAGAGGAUGGUGGAAUUCCCAGUGUAGAGGUGAAAUUCGUAGAUAUUGGGAAGAACACCGGUGGCGAAGGCGGCCAUCUGGACGGACACUGACGCUGAGGCGCGAAAGCGUGGGGAGCAAAC